UCUGGUUGAUCCUGCCAGUAGUUAUAUGCUUGUCUCAAAGAUUAAGCCAUGCAUGUCUAAGUACACACGAAUUAAAAGUGAAACCGCAAAAGGCUCAUUAUAUCAGUUAUGGUUCCUUAGAUCGUUAACAGUUACUUGGAUAACUGUGGUAAUUCUAGAGCUAAUACAUGCAAUUAAAACAUGAACCUUAUGGGACAUGUGCUUUUAUUAGGCUAAAACCAAGCGAUCGCAAGAUCGUUAUAUUGGUUGAACUCUAGAUAACAUGCAGAUCGUAUGGUCUUGUACCGACGACAGAUCUUUCAAAUGUCUGCCCUAUCAACUUUUGAUGGUAGUAUCUAGGACUACCAUGGUUGCAACGGGUAACGGGGAAUCAGGGUUCGAUUCCGGAGAGGGAGCCUGAGAAACGGCUACCACAUCUAAGGAAGGCAGCAGGCGCGUAAAUUACCCACUCCCAGCUCGGGGAGGUAGUGACGAAAAAUAACAAUACAGGACUCAUAUCCGAGGCCCUGUAAUUGGAAUGAGUACACUUUAAAUCCUUUAACAAGGACCAAUUGGAGGGCAAGUCUGGUGCCAGCAGCCGCGGUAAUUCCAGCUCCAAUAGCGUAUAUUAAAGUUGUUGCGGUUAAAACGUUCGUAGUUGAACUUGUGCUUCAUACGGGUAGUACAACUUACAAAUUGACAACCCAGGAAAUGAAGCAUGACAUUGCAAUGUCCGAAGAAGAACCAGAAAGUGUGGCAGCGGCAGGAUCGCCGACUAAUGGAUACCUCGGGUAAUGCACGGCAGUGGUAAUCAUAUAACAAAUACUUAGGAAAUGAACUCAAUACACUUGAGAUUAUUAUCCCAACUAUUAACUACAAGUAUAAUAUUUGCCAGGCUAGCAAGUAUCCCAUGCCGCAUACCCUACAAACUAAUGAGCAAAUCGAAGCGGACUUGAAGUCGCUUUAACCACGCUUCGACUUUUGAGUUCGACUUUGAGUUCGGGUCCGCAAACAUUUCAAUGAUUGACAGGGCAAAAAUAAAUGGA
rnacentral:rRNA from 1 species